UUUCCCUACGGGGCGCAACAGUAGGGAAUUAUCGUCAAUGGGCGCAAUCCUGAACGAGCGAUGCCGCGUGAGUGAAGAAGGCCUUCGGGUCGUAAAGCUCUGUUGCGGGGGAAAAAAGGCAGCAUCAGGAAAUGGGUGCUGACUGAUGGUGCCCCGCCAGAAAGUCACGGCUAACUACGUGCCAGCAGCCGCGGUAAUACGUAGGUGGCGAGCGUUAUCCGGAAUGAUUGGGCGUAAAGGGUGCGCAGGCGGUCCUGCAAGUCUGGAGUGAAAGGCAUGAGCUCAACUCAUGCAUGGCGUUGGGA
rnacentral:rRNA from 1 species